CCGCGUGCGGGAUGAAGGCCUUCGGGUUGUAAACCGCUUUCAGCAGGGAAGAAGCGAAAGUGACGGUACCUGCAGAAGAAGCACCGGCUAACUAUGUGCCAGCAGCCGCGGUAAUACAUAGGGUGCAAGCGUUGUCCGGAAUUAUUGGGCGUAAAGAGCUCGUAGGUGGUUCGUCACGUCGGAUGUGAAAAUCUGGGGCUUAACCCCAGACCUGCAUUCGAUACGGGCGAGCUUGAGUAUGGUAGGGGAGUCUGGAAUUCCUGGUGUAGCGGUGGAAUGCGCAGAUAUCAGGAGGAACACCAAUGGCGAAGGCAGGACUCUGGGCCAUUACUGACACUGAGGAGCGAAAGCGUGGGGAGCGAACAGGAUUAGAUACCCUGGUAGUCCACGCCGUAAACGGUGGGCACUAGUUGUGGGGACCUUCCACGGUCUCUGCGACGCAGCUAACGCAUUAAGUGCCCCGCCUGGGGAGUACGAUCGCAAGAUUAAAACUCAAAUGAA
rnacentral:rRNA from 1 species